UUCUAAAACCUUAGUGCUCUGAAUGUACUCAGUGUAGUCUGAUCUUGGAAGCUAGGCAGAGCCAGGCCUGGUUAAUCCUUGAGUGGGAGAUUUCCAGGAGGGGUUACAAGAGUCCCUGGAUAUUCUGAAAC
rnacentral:rRNA from 14 species